GNAUUUAUUGGGCGUAAGGGGAGCGCAGGCGGUUUAGUAAGUCUGAAGUUAAAGNCAUUGGCUCAACCAAUGUAUGCCUUGGAAACUGUUAGGCUUGAGUGCAGAAGGGGAGAGUGGAAUUCCAUGUGUAGCGGUGAAAUGCGUAGAUAUAUGGAGGAACACCGGUGGCGAAAGCGGCUCUCUGGUCUGUCACUGACGCUGAGGCUCGAAAGCGUGGGUAGCGAACAGGAUUAGAUACCCUGGUAGUNCACGCCGUAAACGCUGAGUGCUAGGUGUUAGGUCCUUUCCGGGACUUAGUGCCGACGCUAACGCAUUAAGCACUCCGCCUGGGGAGUACGACCGCAAGGUUGAAACUCAAAGGAAUUGACGGGGGCCCGCACAAGCGGUGGAGCAUGUGGUUUAAUUCGAAGCAACGCGAAGAACCUUACCAGGUCUUGACAUCCCGAUGCCCGCUCUAGAGAUAGAGUUUUUCUUCGGAACAUCGGAGACAGGUGGUGCAUGGUUGUCGUCAGCUCGUGUCGUGAGAUGUUGGGUUAAGUCCCGCAACGAGCGCAACCCUUAUUGUUAGUUGCCAUCAUUAAGUUGGGCACUCUAGCGAGACUGCCGGUAAUAAACCGGAGGAAGGUGGGGAUGACGUCAAGUCAUCAUGCCCCUUAUGACCUGGGCUACACACGUGCUACAAUGGUUGGUACAACGAGUCGCAAGCCGGUGACGGCAAGCUAAUCUCUGAAAGCCAAUCUCAGUUCGGAUUGUAGGCUGCAACUCGCCUACAUGAAGUCGGAAUCGCUAGUAAUCGCGGAUCAGCACGCCGCGGUGAAUACGUUCCCGGGCCUUGUACACACCGC
rnacentral:rRNA from 1 species